rnacentral:tRNA from 1 species
GCGCCCGUAGCUCAGUUGGAUAGAGCAACGGCCUUCUAAGCCGUGGGUCAGGGGUUCGAAUCCUCUCGGGCGUGCCA